rnacentral:tRNA from 2 species
GCUUCUAUAGGAAAAGAGUUUUCCCCUAGUAUUAGGCACUGGAACGUCUUGGUGCAAGUCCAAGUGGAAGCU